rnacentral:rRNA from 1 species
AUUGAACGCUGGCGGCAGGCCUAACACAUGCAAGUCGAGCGGUAGAGAGAAGCUUGCUUCUCUUGAGAGCGGCGGACGGGUGAGUAAUGCCUAGGAAUCUGCCUGGUAGUGGGGGAUAACGUUCGGAAACGGACGCUAAUACCGCAUACGUCCUACGGGAGAAAGCAGGGGAGCUUCGGGCCUUGCGCUAACAGAUGAGCCUAGGUCGGAUUAGCUAGUUGGUGAGGUAAUGGCUCACCAAGGCGACGAUCCGUAACUGGUCUGAGAGGAUGAUCAGUCACACUGGAACUGAGACACGGUCCAGACUCCUACGGGAGGCAGCAGUGGGGAAUAUUGGACAAUGGGCGAAAGCCUGAUCCAGCCAUGCCGCGUGUGUGAAGAAGGUCUUCGGAUUGUAAAGCACUUUAAGUCGGGAGGAAGGGUUGUAGAUUAAUACUCUGCAAUUUUGACGUUACCGACAGAAUAAGCACCGGCUAACUCUGUGCCAGCCGCCGCCGUAA